rnacentral:rRNA from 1 species
CCUACGGGCGGCUGCAGUGAGGAAUAUUGGUCAAUGGACGAAAGUCUGAACCAGCCAAGUAGCGUGAAGGAUGACUGCCCUAUGGGUUGUAAACUGCUUUUAUAUGGGAAUAAAAUGUGCCACGUGUGGGAUUUUGUAUGUACCGUAUGAAUAAGGAUCGGCUAAUUCCGUGCCAGCAGCCGCGGUAAUACGGAGGGUCCGGGCGUUAUCCGGAUUUAUUGGGUUUAAAGGGAGCGUAGGUGGAAUGUUAAGUCAGUGGUGAAAGUUUGCGGCUCAACCGUAAAAUUGCAGCGGAAACUGGCAGGCUUGAGUACAGUAGAGGUGGGCGGAAUUCGUGGUGUAGCGGUGAAAUGCUUAGAUAUCACGAAGAACUCCGAUUGCGAAGGCAGCUCACUGGACUGCAACUGACACUGAGGCUCGAAAGUGUGGGUAUCAAACAGGAUUAGAUACCCUAGUAGUC